rnacentral:lncRNA from 10 species
GUAAGUGACCGAAUAGAUGAGAGAUGUGUGGGCUGAAUCUUGAGUAGUAAGAGUUUGCUAAGGAGUCCAGGAAGGGAAGAGUAUUUCUAAGAAGUGUAAAAUAUCUUCCAGUAUUGAGAGCACUAUAUGUAGUUCAGUCUGGGGGCAGUGUGUGAUACACAUGCAGCUGUGAUGUGAAAUAGAGAAAGGCCGACAAAUGAGAAAGUAUUAACCACUAACGUCUAUUCCAGUUUAUUAUAUUACAAAUUGACAUUAAUUGAGCACUUGUGCCUCAAGACUAACGCUCAUAGGUAUUAUCUGCAUUUUACAGAAGAGGAAAUUGAGGCUUAGGGAGAUCCAUUAACUUGUCAUGUAAUUAUUAGCAGGUAAAUCAGGAAUUUGAAGUCAGUUUGACUCCAGAGCCCACAUUCUUAUACCUAUGUGUUUUAAAUAAUUUUGGUCACCUCUGGUCAAUUCAGGCUAAGA